rnacentral:rRNA from 1 species
AGCUCUAAUAGCAUAUAUUAAAGUUGUUGCAGUUGAAACGUUCGUAGUCUUCUUUUAUCGCGGCGAUGCGCUGAGCGUCUAGGACGCAUUGGCGGCUUGCGCCGGAUAGCAUGUAGAAUGCUCGCAUGCUGCAUGCGGCCCUUCUACAUUGUACCUUGAGUGAAUCGGCGUGUUCCAAGCAGGCAAAUGCUUCGAACGACUUACCAGGGUAUGGCAAGCGUGUGACCGCACCCUCUUUUACGUUCGAGGGUGCAAUCUAAAACCAUAAGAACGGUUGAGGGCAUUCGUAUUCAACUGCCAGAGGUGAAAUUCUUUGAUUAGUUGAGGGCGACCGACUGCGAAAGCAUUUGCCAAGGACCUGUCUG